rnacentral:rRNA from 1 species
AUUGAACGCUGGCGGAAUGCUUUACACAUGCAAGUCGAACGGCAGCACGGGAGCUUGCUCCUGGUGGCGAGUGGCGAACGGGUGAGUAACAUAUCGGAACGUACCCCGUCGUGGGGGAUAACUCUCCGAAAGGAGUGCUAAUACCGCAUACGACCUGAGGGUGAAAGCGGGGGACCUGCAAGGGCCUCGCGCGAUGGGAGCGGCCGAUAUCGGAUUAGCUAGUUGGUGAGGUAAAGGCUCACCAAGGCGACGAUCCGUAGCGGGUCUGAGAGGACGACCCGCCACACUGGAACUGAGACACGGUCCAGACUCCUACGGGAGGCAGCAGUGGGGAAUUUUGGACAAUGGGGGAAACCCUGAUCCAGCCAUUCCGCGUGAGUGAAGAAGGCCUUCGGGUUGUAAAGCUCUUUCAGCAGGAACGAAACGGCAGGCUUUAAUACAGCCUGCUAAUGACGGUACCUGCAGAAGAAGCACCGGCUAACUACGUG